GAUGAACGCUGGCGGCAUGCCUAAUACAUGCAAGUCGAGCGAACGCACGAGAACCUUUCUUGUCUGAUGUUAUCAGCGGACGGGAGCGUAACACGUGGUUGACCUACCUAUAAGACUGGGGUAACUUCAGGAAACCGGAUCUACUACCGGAUAAUAUUUUGAACCGGAUGGUUCCAGCGUUAAAUUCGGUCGUUUUUUCGCUUAUAGAUGGAUCCGCGCUGCAUUAGCUAGUGGGUAGGGUAACAGCCUAGCAAGGCGACGAUCCAUAGCCGGCCUGAGAGGAUGAUCAGCCACACUGGGACUGAGACACGGCCCAGACUCCUACGGGAAGCAGCAGUGGGGAAUAUUGGACAAUGGGCGAAAGCCUGAUCCAGCAAUGCCGCGUGAGGGAUGAAGGCCUUAGGGUUGUAAAGCUCUUUUACCCGGGAUGAUAAUGACAGUACCGGGAGAAUAAGCUCCGGCUAACUCCGUG
rnacentral:rRNA from 1 species